CCUACGGGGGGCAGCAGUGAGGAAUAUUGGACAAUGGGCGCAAGCCUGAUCCAGCCAUGCCGCGUGCAGGAUGACGGUCCUAUGGAUUGUAAACUGCUUUUGCACAGGAAGAAACAACAUUACGAGUAAUGUCUUGACGGUACUGUGAGAAUAAGGAUCGGCUAACUCCGUGCCAGCAGCCGCGGUAAUACGGAGGAUCCAAGCGUUAUCCGGAAUCAUUGGGUUUAAAGGGUCCGUAGGCGGUUUAAUAAGUCAGUGGUGAAAGCCCAUCGCUCAACGGUGGAACGGCCAUUGAUACUGUUAAACUUGAAUUAUUAGGAAGUAACUAGAAUAUGUAGUGUAGCGGUGAAAUGCUUAGAGAUUACAUGGAAUACCAAUUGCGAAGGCAGGUUACUACUAAUUGAUUGACGCUGAUGGACGAAAGCGUGGGUAGCGAACAGGAUUAGAUACCCCGGUAGUC
rnacentral:rRNA from 1 species